rnacentral:rRNA from 1 species
AGCAGUCGCCACGGGAAUACGAAGGGUGCAAGCGUUAAUCGGAAUUAUUGGGCGUAAAGAGCUCGUAGGCGGUUUGUCGCGUCUGCCGUGAAAGUCCGGGGCUCAACCCCGGAUCUGCGGUGGGUACGGGCAGACUAGAGUGAUGUAGGGGAGACUGGAAUUCCUGGUGUAGCGGUGAAAUGCGCAGAUAUCAGGAGGAACACCGAUGGCGAAGGCAGGUCUCUGGGCAUUAACUGACGCUGAGGAGCGAAAGCAUGGGGAGCGAACAGGAUUAGAUACCCCGGUAGUCCCUGUCUCUUAUAU